rnacentral:piRNA from 1 species
UGGGAAAGGAAUACCCUUGACAUGGUCUC